rnacentral:lncRNA from 1 species
UGGAACAUAAACAUCAUAAAUCAUAGAUCAUGUAUACAAAAGGGAUCUCCAUACACAUAGGGUCAAGCACAACCUCUAAUCCUCAAUAUCAUUUUUACAUAACAUAACUAUUCAUAACUUUACAUCAUUUUACAAUUUAUCAUGUCCACAUUCUAUCUAUUACAUACACAUGACUUCAUCCAUCAUGACUUCACUGUCUAGCCCGUACCUGCAACCCUGGGGGAUUAGGGAAAGGGUUGAGCUACUAGAGCCCAGUGAGCAGAAUAAUAAAACAAUUAAAAUCUCAUGCUCUCAUGUAAUGCUACACAUCACAACUAAUCACAUCAAGGAUGGUAUUGUCACCAAUAGUCCUCUACAUUCCAAAGUGCCGGGACGUAGAAUGGGUCAACCGGUCUUUCUCUUAAACAUAUCAUAAUAUAACAUUCCAAGAUGCCGGGACGUAGAAUGGGUCAACCGGUCUUUCUCUUACAUAGUGCCGGGACGUAGAAUGGGUCAACCGGACUUCCAUACCAUAUCAUGCCGUAUCAUCAUCAUAUCAUAUCAUAUGAGGACUAAAGGAUCAUUCAAUAACCAACUCGCAUCAACAUCAUAGAAUGCAAUGCAACAUAUUCGUGAAUUCUAAUGCAAACAACCUAAAUCAUCACAUGGCAUUCAUGAUGCAUGAACAUUCUCAAGACUUAACAAUUUAUUUGCUUUAAAACAUAAAAGUUUAUUCUACUCACCUCAGCUAGCUCUGACAAUGACUGAAACAGCUGACUCACUGCGGGGUCCUCGGUUCCUCGGGUCCGAACCUACACAGGUGGACUCAAAUGAGGGACCAACAUACUAGAACAUGAAUCUAAAAACAUCCCCCAAAAACCCCCCUAAAACACCUCAAAACAAUCAUGCAAAACAUGCAAAGGAAGGCUGAACAGGGCACUUUCGGCGGCAGGUUCGGCGGCCGAAAGUCCCUCCAAAGCCGAAAGUCAGGCAGGUUCGGCGGUACUUUCGGCGGCCGAAACUCCCAGACAAAGACGAAACUCAUGCAUGUUCGGCGGCCGAAACUGCCCUCCAGAGACGAAAGUCCUCUUUCGGGGGCAGGCUUCGGCGGCCAAAAGUUCCUUCGGCGGCCGAACCUGAGUUUCUCCAACGGCGGCCGAAACUCCCAGACAGAGAUGAAACUCAUGCAUGUUCGGCGGCCGAAACUGCCCUCCAGAGACGAAAGUCCUCUUUCGGGGGCAGGCUUCGGCAGCCGAAGGCUGCCUCCACAAGCGGGUUCGGCGGCCAAAAGUUCCUUCGGCGGCUGAACCUGAGUUUCUCCAAAGUGGCAGAAACUCAGCUCCAACAUGCACAAACGCCUCCCAAACCUUUCAAACAUGCAUAAACCUAUUCUACAACACUCCCAAUCAUAGACAAUCAAACAUAUAAGUUCAUAGGGGUCUCAAACUAGCCUAAACCACAACUUCAACACAUCAAACAUACCCACAUUGCUCAAAAACACACAUUAAACCCAUAAACUCAAAACAACCUAAACAUGCAUUUCUACUCCAUGAAUCAACUUAAAACUUGUUUAAAACAUAUAGUGAGCUCAAGAUCGGCCCUUACCUCUUGAAGAUCGAGGGGAAAAUGACCCUAGCUCGGAGAUGGGAGAGAUUGAGUUUCUUGAACCUCAAAGCUCCAAAACUUGCUUUAUACUCGAAAAUCUUCAAAAAAAAGUGAAAACUUGUGAAAAUCGUGAAAGAUUUGAAGGAAGAAACUCAAGAUCGGUGAGGGACGGCGGAGAGCUCACCUUGGCCGAAAAUGGGGAGAAAAACUCACCCGUUUCGGCUAAGGGACCCUUUUAUAGGUGGCUGGCCAGGCCACAUUCGGGGGCCGAACGUGCCUCCGCAUGCAUGCCAUGUUCGGCGGCCGAACAUGAGGUUGGCGGCCGAACCUGGACUUCCCUCACUUAUGCUUUCGGGGGCCUAAAGCACUCCCGAAGGGCAUGCAUGUUCGACGGCAGAACCUGGGUCUUCCUCCAAGAUUAUUUUCAUGCAAAAACUCAUUUUCUUUUUACUUAAAACCAUAAAAUACAUUAAAACAUUUUAUGAAAACAUGAUUUUACCCUUCUAGAGGUUUUCGACAUCCGAGAUUCCACCGGACGGUAGAAAUUCCGAUACUGGAGUCUAGCCGGGUAUUACGUUCUCUCCCCCUUAAGAACAUUUGUCCCCAAAUGUUCACCAAACAACACAUAGCAUGGCAUACACAUAACAUACAUACAAAGCACAUAAAACUUACUUUAGAAAAUAUGGGGAUAUUGCUGGAGCAUGGACUCCCGUGUCUCCCAGGUACACUCCUCAAUAUUAUGGUGAUUCCAAAGGACUUUCACCAUCGGGAUUUCCUUGUUCCUUAGCUUUCUGAUCUGUGUGUCUAGGAUCCGUACUGGCUGCUCAACAUAGGUGAGAUCUUCUUGGAUCUCCACAUCAGGCUCACUAAGAACCUUGCCCGGAUCUGACACAAAUUUCCUCAACAUAGAAACAUAGAAAAUCGGAUGGAUUCUCUCCAUUGAAGCAGGCAAGUCCAGCUUGUAUGAUACAUUCCCAAUCCUUUGCAAGACUUCAAAGGGUCCGAUGUAUCGUGGAGCUAGCUUACCUUUCUUCCCGAACCGAAUCACCCCUUUCAUUGGAGACACCUUGAGCAAUACCAAAUCCCCCUCCUGAAACUCUACUUGCCUUCUGCGGAUAUCUGCAUAACUUUUCUGUCUGCUUGCAGCAGUCUUGAUCCUUUCUCUGAUUAUGGGCACCACCCUGCUGGUGAUCUCUACUAGCUCAGGCCCUGCCAAGGCCUUUUCUCCAACCUCUUCUCAGCAAACCGGUGAUCUGCACUUCCUCCCAUACAAAGCUUCAUAUGGAGCCAUCCCGAUGCUAGCAUGAUGGCUGUUAUUGUAGGCAAACUCCACCAAAGGUAGAUGCUGCCUCCAAGAAUCACCAAAGUCCAGCACACACAUUUUGAGCAUAUCCUCUAUUGUCUGGAUGGUCCUUUCUGACUGUCCGUCCGUCUGUGGAUGGAAAGCAGUGCUAAAAUCCAACCUGGUACCCAUGGCAUUCUGCAGACUCCGCCAAAACCUGGAGGUGAACUGGGGUCCUCUAUCGGACACUAUUGAAACAGGAACCCCAUGCAGCCUGACGAUCUCAUCAACAUACACCUGCGCCAACUUGUCCACAGAAUAGCCACUCCUGACAGGGAUGAAGUGAGCAAAUUUGGUGAGUCUGUCCACAAUCACCCAUAUGGAGUCCAAUCUGUUGGAUGCCGCCGGUAACCCCACUACGAAGUCCAUAGCUAUAUUCUCCCAUUUCCACUCUGGAAUAGGUAGUGGGUUAAGCAUUCCAGCCGGCUUCUGAUGUUCCAGCUUCACCCUCUGACACACUUCGCAGGCUGACACAAACUGUGCCACUUCUCUCUUCAUAGCUGGCCACCAAUAAACCUUCUUCAGAUCUUGAUACAUCUUGGUGGCUCCGGGGUGAACGCUGUAUUUUGUAUUAUGAGCCUCUCUCAUAAUGUCUCCUUUUAGCCCUAUGUCGUCUGGUACACACAAUCGGCUCCCAUAGCGGAGGAUCCCCUUGUUGUCGAAUCUGAACUCAUUAUCUUUGCCUGACUGAACAGCCCUGGCAAUCUUCACUAAUUCUGGGUCCUCGUGCUGUUUCUGAGCCACCUGCUCUAGAAACACGGGUGCCACUCGCAUCUGAGCAAUCAAUGCACCUGUACCAGACAACUCCAACUGUAGACCUUCCUCAAUGAGCUUGUAAAACUCCUUCACCACUGGUCUCCUCUCAGCCGUGAUGUGGGAUAAACUGCCUAGUGAUUUUCGGCUUAGGGCGUCUGCCACAACAUUCGCCUUACCUGGAUGGUACUGAAUCUUGCAAUCAUAAUCACUCAGCAGCUCUACCCAUCUUCUCUGUCUCAAGUUCAAAUCUCUUUGACUCAGGAUGUACUGCAGGCUCUUAUGAUCUGUGAAGAUCUCACAUUUAACCCCAUAGAGGCAGUGCCUCCACAUCUUGAGUGCAAAGAUUACUGCUGCCAUCUCCAGGUCAUGUGUGGGGUAAUUCAACUCAUGCUUCUUCAGCUGUCUAGAAGCAUAAGCAAUCACCCUUUCAUUCUGCAUUAACACACAACCCAAUCCCACUCGGGAUGCAUCACAAAAAACUGUGAAAUCCUCAUUGCUAGCUGGUAAAGCUAACACUGGUGCUGACAUUAACCUCUUCUUAAGCUCUUCAAAACUCUCUUCGCACUGGUCAGUCCACACAAACUUCUGAUUCUUCUUGGUUAGUCUGGUCAGAGGAGCUGCAACUUUUGAGAAGUCCUGAAUGAACCUCCUGUAGUAACCUGCCAAACCCAAGAAACUCCUUAUCUCUAUUACUGAAGUGGGUCUAGACCAGUUAGCCACAGUUUCUACCUUCUUGGGGUCCACCUCUAUUCCAUUUUCCGACACCACAUGCCCCAAGAAUGAAAUGCUCCUCAGCCAUAACUCACACUUGGAGAACUUGGCAUACAAGCCAUGUUCCCUCAAGGUCUACAGAACCAACCUCAGAUGAUGGGCAUGCUCCUCUGUAUUCCUGGAAUACACUAAGAUAUCAUCUAUGAAGACAAUCACAAAGUGAUCCAGGUACUGGCUAAACACUCUAUUCAUGAGAUCCAUUAAUGUUGCAGGGGCAUUGGUUAACCCGAACGGCAUUACAAGGAACUCAAAAUGCCCAUAUCUGGUCCUGAAAGCCGUCUUUGGCACAUCUUCCUCUCUGAUCCUCAGCUGAUGGUACCCAGAUCUCAGAUCUAUUUUGGAGAAACAACCCGCUCCUGCUAGCUGGUCGAAUAGAUCAUCGAUCCUUGGCAAUGGGUACUUAUUCUUGGUAGUGACUUUGUUCAACUGCCUGCAGUCGAUACAAAGUCUAAGGGAUCCAUCCUUCUUUCUCACAAACAGCACUGGAGCACCCCAAGGUGAGGUACUCGGUCGGAUGAAGCCCUUUUCUACCAGCUCUUGUAACUGUUCUUUCAAUUCUCUCAACUCAGCUGGAGCCAUCCUGUAGGGAGGGAUAGAGAUUGGUCUGGUUCCAGGCAUCAAUUCUAUCUCGAACUCUAUCUCCCUAGCAGGUGGUAAACCUGGCAGCUCGUCUGGGAAGACAUCUAAGAACUCUCUAACCACUGGCACCGAGGCGGGCUCUCUAACCUGACUGCUAAGCUCUCUCACAUGAGCCAAAUACCCCUGACAUCCCUUCCUAAGCAACCUACGAGCCUGAAGAGCUGAUAUCAGACCUCUAGGUGUACCCCUCCUGUCUCCCCUGAAGACAACCUCUGACCCAUCCUGACCUCUGAACCUGACUACUUUGUCCCUGCAGUCCAAGGUAGCACCAUGGGUAGAUAACCAGUCCAUCCCUAGAAUGACGUCAAAAUCUGUCAAGUCUAGAGCCACCAGGUCGGCAGAAAGGCAUCUUCCCUCAACAAAGACUGGACUGCACUGGCAGACUGACUCUGCCACUGAUGGAUCGCACUUGGGUCCACUAACCCAGAGAGGACACUCUAAACCAGAGAUCAUCAGACCCAACCUCUCUACGGCUCUCGGAGCAAUAAAAGAAUGAGAUGCACCAGGGUCCAUCAAGGCAUACACAUCUGAACAACCAAUGACUAAGUUACCUGCCACCACGGUGUUAGAUGCAUCUGCCUCCUGCUGAGUCAUCGUGAAGAUCCGUGCUGGAGCUGAUGGACCUUCACCUCUGAAACCCGCUGAAGAAGAGGCUGACCCUCUCCCUCUGCCUCUGCUACUGGCCUAAGUCGUGGCUGGAGCUGCUGGCUGCGCUACGCUACCUGAAACUGUCUGCUCGGACUGCGCCCCAAAAGCUGCUCUAGGACACUCCCGUGCCAUGUGUCCCUCUUGCCCGCAUCUGAAGCAGGCUGUCGUCCCAACCAGACAUACUCCCUUGUGCGGCUUUCCACACUUCUUGCAUACUGCAUUAUCCGCACCAGAGCUUGAGCCACUCCCUAGUCCCAGACCUGAUUUGAUCUUAUUCCAGAACUUGUUCUUCUUGGGCUUCCUAGUGGUGUUACUCCACCUUUUGCUACCUGAAGCUGCUGCACUCAGAGAAGAAGAGCCUAGGGUCUUAGAACCAGAGGGCUGUGCCACUGACUGCUUAACUGUCCCCUAAAUGAUGGCACUGGCUUCCAUCUUCCGGGCCAUAUCCACUAUGUCAUGGAAGCUCUCCCUAUCUGCUGACUGAAUCAAGGAGGAAUAUCUAGAGUGGAGUUUCAUGAUAUACCUCCUUGACUUCUUCUGGUCUGAGUCAACAUUUUGCCCUGCAAAUGGCAACAGCUCUAAGAAUCUGUCUGUGAACUCAUCCACACUCAUAUCAUCAGUCUGCCUCAACUGUUCAAACUCUAUCAUCUUCAAUUCCCUUGAGCUAUCAGGGAAAGCCCAUCCUGCAAACUCGUUUGCAAACUCUUCCCAAGACAUGCUGUCCACCCUCGGGUUCACAUAAUUCUUAAACCACUCUCGGGCCUUCUUGCACUUAAGUGUGAACCCAGCCAUCUGAAUGGCUCUACUGUCAUCAGCCCCAAUCUCAUCUGUGAUCACCUUGACCCUUUCAAGAUACACAAACGGGUCAUCCCCUUUUUCAUACUAAGGAGCACCCAGCUUCAUGUAGUCGGUCAUCUUGACCUUGCUCCCACCAGAUGAGCUAGGCUUAGGUACUGGGGUUUCUGGAACUGUGGGUUCUACUGGUGGAGGAGGAGGAGGAGCAUCCCCUGGGAUAGGGUUUGCUGGAUUUGGAUAGUAGGGUAGAGGUGGGUACAUUGGGUACUGUGGGUAUGGUGGAUAGUAAGGUGGGUAUGGCAUCUGUGUGGGAUAAGGGUUAAAACUAUGGUAAUCCGAUGUGCCUCCCAUCGAAUACCUGGGGUUUUGUGAAAAGGGUGGGUAGUGAGGUGGCUGAACAAAUCCCGAGGCCUGGGUGCCUCCUUGGGACUCUCCCAUUCCCUCUUCUGACAUGCUCACUCCUAAACUGCCAUCCCUCCUCUGGUCCACAUCCAUCUCAUCCCCCAUAUCCUCUGACAUUCCUCCCUGAACUGUUCCCCUUACUGAUCUGCUUCUACCCAGAUCCAAAGACCUUCUAGGGUCUCUUACUGCUCUUUCUCUGCUGGACCUACUUGACAUUGCCCUAGGCAAUGCUGGAGGACGGGCGCUCGUGCCCUCAUCCUCAGGUGGUACUCCAGUCAAUCGUGCAGAUCGACGAGUUCCUCUCAUCUUGUUUUCUGAAAAACAGUACACAUCACAUAAACAUUAGCAUCAAAUGGUUCAUGUGGAAACACAUGAACCCGCAUCACAUACAUAUCAUUCAUAUCAUAGCAUCAAUGCACAUGUAUAUAAUCAUGGCAUUUCACAUCAUCAUACAAGACAGGACUCCACAUCUUAUCCUAGUGGACAUGAUCUUUCCUAUUGUGCUUGACCUCCUAUAACAUCUAUGAGUCUGACACUCUAGGUCCGACCAUAUGAACCUAGGGCUCUGAUACCAUUCUGUAACGACCCGAAAAUCGGACCGCUACCGGCGCUAGGAUCCAGAUCGGCAUAAGGCCGCUGGGACCCGUAGCAAGCCUGACAUACAUCCUGUAAACCUGUUUAAUCCCAUACAUGAUCAACAGCAUACAUAAAAAUUUGAACUUUUCUUUUCUUUUACCAAGCUCAACCUGUGCAUGCACAUAAGCAUAUACAUAAACAUAAACAUAAACCCCACACUGGAGCUCUCAUCAAAUGCUCCAAUGGGGCAUCUCCUUAUGCACAAGCUUGGUGGAACAUAAACAUCAUAAAUCAUAGAUCAUGUAUACAAAAGGGAUCUCCAUACACAUAGGGUCAAGCACAACCUCUAAUCCUCAAUAUCAUUUUUACAUAACAUAACUAUUCAUAACUUUACAUCAUUUUACAAUUUAUCAUGUCCACAUUCUAUCUAUUACAUACACAUGACUUCAUCCAUCAUGACUUCACUGUCUAGCCCAUACCUGCAACCCUAGGGGAUUAGGGAAAGGGGUGAGCUACUAGAGCCCAGUGAGCAGAAUAAUAAAACAAUUAAAAUCUCAUGCUCUCAUGUAAUGCAACACAUCACAACUAAUCACAUCAAGGAUGGUAUUGUCACCAAUAGUCCUCUACAUUCCAAAGUGCCGGGACGUAGAAUGGGUCAACCGGUCUUUCUCUUAAACAUAUCAUAAUAUAACAUUCCAAGAUGUCGGGACGUAGAAUGGGUCAACCGGUCUUUCUCUUACAUAGUGCCGGGACGUAGAAUGGGUCAACCGGACUUCCAUACCAUAUCAUGCUGUAUUAUCUUCAUAUCAUAUCAUAUGAGGACUAAAGGAUCAUUCAAUAACCAAUUCGCAUCAACAUCAUAGAAUGCAAUGCAACAUAUUCGUGAAUUCUAAUGCAAACAACCUAAAUCAUCACAUGGCAUUCAUGAUGCAUGAACAUGCUCAAGACUUAAUAAUUUAUUUGCUUUAAAACAUAAAAGUUUAUUCUACUCACCUCAGCUAGCUCUGACAAUGACUGAAACAGCUGACACACUGCGGGGUCCUCGGUUCCUCGGGUCCAAACCUACACAGGUGGACUCAAAUGAGGGACCAACAUACUAGAACAUGAAUCUAAAAACAUCCCCCAAAAACCCCCCUAAAACAC